rnacentral:rRNA from 1 species
UAGCCCAUCGCCGAACGGCAGGCCCUCUNGGUCUCGCUGAAUGUGGCGUUUGGGAGAGUCUUAUCGCGGUGUGGACGGCCAGUCAAAGUCCAACUUGACAGUGGCCAUGGCCCGUAGAGGGUGAUAGGCCCGUAAGACGGCUGUCCCACUGCGCUGACUUUUCCCUAGAGUCGGAUUGCUUGGGAGUGCAGUCCAAAAGUGCGAGGUAAACUCCUCGUAAGGCUAAAUAUGACCCCGAGUCCGAUAGCAAACAAGUACCGUGAGGGAAAAUUGAAAAGAACUUUGAAGAGAGAGUUCAAGAGUACGUGAAACCGUCUAGCGGUAAAGAGAGGGGUUCUCGAAGUUUCUGAGGGGGACUCAACCUUGGUGGUGCUUGGCCUGGGCGUAUUUGAUCAGCAAUGACUUUGCGUUUAGUCCCAUGUGCCUCCCGGACGCACUUUCUCCUCAGUUUACGGCAGGAACCGUUAGAUGUGGACUGAAGGCCCAGGGUGAAGUUGUUGGUUAUGCUGGCAGCCCUUGGUGUCCUAGCUUCGCGUCUGACGGGUAUGUAAGUGAACUCGUAUAGCGAGCGAUUCUCUAUUGCGGUUCGCAUUUCUCUGCCGAGUAGGUCGGUGGCCCCUCUCACCCGUCUUGAAACACGGACCAAGGAGUGUAACAUGUAUGCGAGCCAUUGGGUUGAUUAAACCUAGAGGCGCAGUGAAAGCAAAGAGUAGCUUGUCUGCUCGAGGGACGAUCCGCAAGGCGCAGUCCCGCGACUUCCAAUCGACCUCGCAUCGUUGGGAGUACGUAGAGCAUAAAUGUUGCGACCCGAAAGAUGGUGAACUAUGCCUGGCC